GACGAACGCUGGCGGCGUGCUUAACACAUGCGAGUCGAACGGAAAGGCCCUGCUUUUGUGGGGUGCUCGAGUGGCGAACGGGUGAGUAACACGUGAGUAACCUGCCCUUGACUUUGGGAUAACUUCAGGAAACUGGGGCUAAUACCGGAUAGGAGCUCCUGCUGCAUGGUGGGGGUUGGAAAGUUUCGGCGGUUGGGGAUGGACUCGCGGCUUAUCAGCUUGUUGGUGGGGUAGUGGCUUACCAAGGCUUUGACGGGUAGCCGGCCUGAGAGGGUGACCGGCCACAUUGGGACUGAGAUACGGCCCAGACUCCUACGGGAGGCAGCAGAGGGGAAUAUUGCACAAUGGGCGGAAGCCUGAUGCAGCAACGCCGCGUGCGGGAUGACGGCCUUCGGGUUGUAAACCGCUUUCGCCUGUGACGAAGCGUGAGUGACGGUAAUGGGUAAAGAAGCACCGGCUAACUACGUG
rnacentral:rRNA from 1 species